rnacentral:lncRNA from 1 species
UUGCAGAGUCGUUUAACCGUUAGGUUUAAGUAGUUACUAUUGAUAUUAGAGUCGAUAGAAUUUGCGACUUUGCACACCUUCUGGUCAUCCUUUUAAAAGAGACUAAUCUGCAUAUCUUCACAAUGAUUAAUUUGUUUUCAACAAUUCCUUCAAUAAAUUUAUUACAUAAAUUUAUUUUUUCUAUUAUACUUUUUCCUUUAACUAUAAUCCAAACUCCAAAAACAAACUUGCUAUAUAAUAAACUUCCUCGACCCCUUCAUACGUGGACAAGACAGCAAAAACCGCCCUCCACCGAAACCACAGCCAUCCACUCCAACGGCAUCUCCCCACACAAGUAAGUCUCAAAGUUCAAUUCCUUACAGGUGGACUAUAUAGACACCAAUGAUUUCUAAAAUGAAAAGUAACUCUCAAACCUAAAAAGGUUGGCCACCACUGCUAUAUAAUAUGAUUUUAUUAAAAUGCUUGUUUGGCAGAAAAUAUCAAAGAAAAAUUAAAAUUUUCAUCAUUUCUAAAUCACACCAAAAAUUUAUGACACUGUUUAAAUGAUUAACAAAAAUCAAAAUCAAAACAUGCAAUUAUCAGAAGUAUAAAUCUGAUGUCCAAAAUCAGCU